GCCUGUCCCUGCUGUGUCCAGUGCAUCACUGAUAAACACCAAAAAUGUCAAGACAUGAAACCCUUGUCUGAUAUCCUACAGCAAGUAAAAUUAUAUGCCUCAGUUCAACUUUUUGAAAAAGAUUUGAAGAAUGUAAAGGAAAACUUUGAUACAGCCAUAACGUACCUGAAAACCAGGAUCAGUACCAUCAAUACUCAGUAAAACAACAGCUGUUGAAGAAAUCAGAUAUAUGAGGAAGUCGAUCAAUGAUUACUUAAACAAAUUAGAGCAAGAAAUACUUAAUGAAUUAGAGUCUAAACAUUUAAAGCUUAAAUUAAACAUGGCCACUCUUGUGCAACAAAUGGAACAGCAAAUUAGUCAGAUAAAUCAAAUGCAGAGUCAGAGCUACAAAUGCAUAUUGGUCUGAGAGAAAUUGAGAAAACUACAUCACAAAUGGCAAAAUAUUUAGAAGAUUUAGAAAGUGGAGACAACUUCAUUGAAAAGAAUCUAGAGGUAAACAUUUCAUCUGCUCUUCAAUCAAUUUUACAAGAUGUCAAAUCAUUUGGAGAUAUUAAUAUCAAUACCACCUCAUCUACUCUACAAAUAAAGGCAGGGAGAAAAGAUCAAGCCCAGCACUUGGUUCCAAAUAUUCCUUGAAUUGAACAAAUAAAGCCAACCUUUUUGACAAGACUGACAAUUCCAGAAGAUAUGAAGUCUGUGAAUAUAACUGCCUGUCUUAUACUACCUGAUAGCAGAUUUAUAAUAACUAAUUUCAACAAAAAAGAACUACUGCUGUUCAGUAAUGAUGGCAUCUUCAUCAGAAAAGUAGUUACAUUCACAGGAUAUCCAUUGGAUGCCUGCUUUGUCAGAAAUAAUACGGCAGCUGUCACAUUAGGAUACGCAUACCAGACAGUACUGGUGGAUGUAGAAAAGGAAUAAAAUUCUUCAAACAAUUAAACUUUCUCAUUAUUGUAAUGGAGUAGCAAGUGAUGGUAAAACUUGGUUCAUCAGUGGUGGUAACAGCCAGAGUACUAGAGUGAAUCUGAAUGACAUGUCUAAAACAAUCUUAGAAGGAAUGGGAGGAGUGGGACCUAUUGCAAUUUUCCAAGGAAAUAUCUAUGGCACAUAUUCCUCUGAAAACAAAGUCUGCUGCUAUAAUAGUACUGGAGAACCUCUCUGGACAUAUCAGAACCAAGACAUUACCGAACCAAAAGGACUUACUUUAGACAAGAAUGGCUUUGUUUAUAUAGUUUCUGUAGGAAACAACAGUAUCCUGGUAGUAUCACCACAUGGUAAGACCUGUAAGACAAUACUAUCAGAGGCUGAUGAAAUAAAAGAUCCGUGGGCAAUAGACAUUAAAAGAGAAACAGGAAUGAUGAUAGUGUCAAAUAAAAUAAGUGAUGAUAACAAUGAUACAGCUUUUGUAUAUAAAAUUUAAAAUAUUA